rnacentral:rRNA from 1 species
UACGUAGGGUGCGAGCGUUAAUCGGAGUUACUGGGCGUAAAGCGUGCGCAGGCGGUUCGUUGUGUCUGAUGUGAAAGCCCCGGGCUCAACCUGGGAAUGGCAUUGGAAACUGGCGAGCUAGAGUGUGGCAGAGGGGGGUGGAAUUCCGCGUGUAGCAGUGAAAUGCGUAGAGAUGCGGAGGAACACCGAUGGCGAAGGCAGCCCCCUGGGCUGACACUGACGCUCAGGCACGAAAGCGUGGGGAGCAAACAGG